GCGUCCGUAGCUCAGUUGGAUAGAGCGGGUCCCUCGAAAGGCUCAGGUCGCUGGUUCAAGUCCAGCCGGUCGCGCCA
rnacentral:tRNA from 1 species